rnacentral:rRNA from 1 species
CAGUCGCCGCGGGAAUACGUAGGUGGCGAGCGUUGUCCGGAAUCAUUGGGCGUAAAGGGAGCGCAGGCGGGCGUGUAAGUCUUUCUUAAAAGUUCGGGGCUCAACCCCGUGAUGGGAAAGAAACUACAUGUCUUGAGUACAGGAGAGGAAAGCGGAAUUCCCAGUGUAGCGGUGAAAUGCGUAGAUAUUGGGAGGAACACCAGUGGCGAAGGCGGCUUUCUGGACUGCAACUGACGCUGAGGCUCGAAAGCCAGGGGAGCGAACGGGAUUAGAUACCCCCGUAGUCCCUGUCUCUUAUACA